rnacentral:rRNA from 1 species
AAGUUUCAACAACGGAUCUCUUGGCUCUCGCAUCGAUGAAGACGCAGCGAAAUGCGAUAAGUAAUGUGAAUUGCAGAAUUCAGUGAAUCAUCGAAUCUUUGAACGCACCUUGCGCUCCUUGGUAUUCCUCGGAGCAUGCCUGUUUGAGUAUCA